GACGAACGCUGGCGGCGUGCUUAACACAUGCAAGUCGUACGGAAAGGCCCUGCUUUUGUGGGGUGCUCGAGUGGCGAACGGGUGAGUAACACGUGAGUAACCUGCCCUUGACUUUGGGAUAACUUCAGGAAGCUGGGGCUAAUACCGGAUAGGAGCUCCUGCUGCAUGGUGGGGGUUGGAAAGUUUCGGCGGUUGGGGAUGGACUCGCGGCUUAUCAGCUUGUUGGUGGGGUAGUGGCUUACCAAGGCUUUGACGGGUAGCCGGCCUGAGAGGGUGACCGGCCACAUUGGGACUGAGAUACGGCCCAGACUCCUACGGGAGGCAGCAGUGGGGAAUAUUGCACAAUGGGCGGAAGCCUGAUGCAGCAACGCCGCGUGCGGGAUGACGGCCUUCGGGUUGUAAACCGCUUUCGCCUGUGACGAAGCGUGAGUGACGGUAAUGGGUAAAGAAGCACCGGCUAACUACGUG
rnacentral:rRNA from 1 species